rnacentral:rRNA from 1 species
UACGUAGGGUGCGAGCGUUGUCCGGAAUUAUUGGGCGUAAAGAGCUUGUAGGUGGUUUGUCGCGUCUGCUGUGAAAAUCCGAGGCUCAACCUCGGACUUGCAGCGGGUACGGGCAGACUAGAGUGCGGUAGGGGAGACUGGAAUUCCUGGUGUAGCGGUGGAAUGCGCAGAUAUCAGGAGGAACACCAAUGGCGAAGGCAGAUCUCUGGGCCGUAACUGACGCUGAGGAGCGAAAGCAUGGGGAGCGAACAGG